GACGAACGCUGGCGGCGUGCUUAGCACAUGCAAGUCGAACGGAAAGGCCCUGCUUUUGUGGGGUGCUCGGGUGGCGAACGGGUGAGUAACACGUGAGUAACCUGCCCUUGACUUUGGGAUAACUUCAGGAAACUGGGGCUAAUACCGGAUAGGAGCUCCUGCUGCAUGGUGGGGGUUGGAAAGUUUCGGCGGUUGGGGAUGGACUCGCGGCUUAUCAGCUUGUUGGUGGGGUAGUGGCUUACCAAGGCUUUGACGGGUAGCCGGCCUGAGAGGGUGACCGGCCACAUUGGGACUGAGAUACGGCCCAGACUCCUACGGGAGGCAGCAGUGGGGAAUAUUGCACAAUGGGCGGAAGCCUGAUGCAGCAACGCCGCGUGCGGGAUGACGGCCUUCGGGUUGUAAACCGCUUUCGCCUGUGACGAAGCGUGAGUGACGGUAAUGGGUAAAGAAGCACCGGCUAACUACGUG
rnacentral:rRNA from 1 species